rnacentral:rRNA from 1 species
UAUAAGCGGAGGAAAAGAAACCAACAGGGAUUGCCUCAGUAACGGCGAGUGAAGCGGCAACAGCUCAAAUUUGAAAGCUGGCCCCCCCCGGGGGUCCGCGUUGUAAUUUGUAGAGGAUGAUUCGGCGAGGGCUCCCGCCUAAGUCCCCUGGAACGGGGCGUCAUAGAGGGUGAGAAUCCCGUAUGCGGUGGGCUGCCUUAGCCAUGUGAAUCUCCUUCGACGAGUCGAGUUGUUUGGGAAUGCAGCUCUAAAUGGGAGGUAAAUUUCUUCUAAAGCUAAAUACCGGCCAGAGACCGAUAGCGCACAAGUAGAGUGAUCGAAAGAUGAAAAGCACUUUGGAAAGAGAGUUAAAAAGUACGUGAAAUUGUUGAAAGGGAAGCGCUUGCAGCCAGACUUGCCCGCAGUUGCUCAGCCGGUCUCCUGACCGGCGCACUCUUCUGCGGCCAGGCCAGCAUCAGUUCGGGCGGUCGGAUAAAGGCCCCGGGAACGUAGCUCCUCUCGGGGAGUGUUAUAGCCCGGGGUGGAAUGCGGCCAGCCUGGACUGAGGAUCUCGCUUCGGCUAGGAUGCUGGCGUAAUGGCUGUAAGCGGCCCGUCUUGAAACACGGACCAAGGAGUCUAACAUCUAUGCGAGUGUUUGGGUGUCAAACCCAUGCGCGUAAUGAAAGUGAACGGAGGUGGGAACCCUCGCGGGUGCACCAUCGACCGAUCCUGAUGUCUUCGGAUGGAUUUGAGUAAGAGCAUAGCUGUUGGGACCCGAAAGAUGGUGAACUAUGCCUGAAUAGGGUGAAGCCAGAGGAAACUCUGGUGGAGGCUCGCAGCGGUUCUGACGUGCAAAUCGAUCGUCAAAUUUGGGUAUAGGGGCGAAAGACUAAUCGA